rnacentral:rRNA from 1 species
UGGGAGGUCCCGCCUGCCCUGUGACUAGUUUAACGGCCGCGGUAUUUUGACCGUGCGAAGGUAGCGUAAUCACUUGUCUUUUAAAUGGAGACCUGUAUGAAUGGCACAACGAGGGCUUUACUGUCUCCUUUCUCAGGUCAAUGAAAUUGAUCUCCCCGUGCAGAAGCGGGGAUAUAAACAUAAGACGAGAAGACCCUAUGGAGCUUUAGACUCAAAGGUAGACCCUAUUUAAUAACCCUAUAAAGGACUUUAAUUUUAGAGACCCUGCCCUGCGUCUUUGGUUGGGGCGACCGCGGAGAAAAACUAAACCUCCGUGUGGAGUGGGAGUACUCUAUCUCCUCCUAAAGCUAAGAACGACAACUCUAAGCAACAAAACUUUUGACCUAUAUAGAUCCGGCAAAGCCGAUCAACGAACCGAGUUACCCUAGGGAUAACAGCGCAAUCCCUUUUUAGAGUCCCUAUCGACAAGGGGGUUUACGACCUCGAUGUUGGAUCAGGACAUCCCGAUGGUGCAGCCGCUAUCAAUGGUUCGUUUGUUCAACG